rnacentral:rRNA from 1 species
GAGUUUGAUCUUGGCUCAGAUUGAACGCUGGCGGCAUGCCUUACACAUGCAAGUCGAACGGCAGCAUGAUCUAGCUUGCUAGAUUGAUGGCGAGUGGCGAACGGGUGAGUAAUACAUCGGAACGUGCCCUGUAGUGGGGGAUAACUAGUCGAAAGAUUAGCUAAUACCGCAUACGACCUGAGGGUGAAAGUGGGGGACCGACAAGGCCUCAUGCUAUAGGAGCGGCCGAUGUCUGAUUAGGCUAGUUGGUGGGGUAAAGGCCCACCAAGGCGACGAUCAGUAGCUGGUCUGAGAGGACGAUCAGCCACACUGGGACUGAGACACGGCCCAGACUCCUACGGGAGGCAGCAGUGGGGAAUUUUGGACAAUGGGCGAAAGCCUGAUCCAGCAAUGCCGCGUGUGUGAAGAAGGCC